CCUACGGGUGGCAGCAGUGGGGAAUAUUGGACAAUGGGCGAAAGCCUGAUCCAGCCAUGCCGCGUGUGUGAAGAAGGCCUUCGGGUUGUAAAGCACUUUCAGUGGGGAAGAAAGCCUUGGGGCUAAUACCCUCGAGGAAGGACAUCACCCACAGAAGAAGCACCGGCUAACUCCGUGCCAGCAGCCGCGGUAAUACGGAGGGUGCGAGCGUUAAUCGGAAUUACUGGGCGUAAAGCGCGCGUAGGCGGUCUGAUAAGCCGGUUGUGAAAGCCCCGGGCUCAACCUGGGAACGGCAUCCGGAACUGUCAGGAUAGAGUGCAGGAGAGGAAGGUAGAAUUCCAGGUGUAGCGGUGAAAUGCGUAGAGAUCGGGAGGAAUACCAGUGGCGAAGGCGGCCUUCUGGACUGACACUGACGCUGAGGUGCGAAAGCGUGGGUAGCAAACAGGAUUAGAUACCCGGGUAGUC
rnacentral:rRNA from 1 species